AUAUUGAUAUAGUACAAUAUAGUAAUUUAUUGCCAGUAUUGUGCUAUGCUAAUAAUAUAAUAUUGUAUGUAAAUUUAAUUUGUAAGCCGCUCUGAGUCCCCUUCGGGAUGAGAAGGGCGGGAUAUAAAUGUAUUAAAUAACUAAUAAUAAUAAAUAAAUAAUCAUUGACCCCUUUCUCAGCCCUCCAACUCCAUGCGCCUCCUUUUCCCUGCAUUACCACUUCCCUCCGCUAGGUGGCCCGCCUUUCAGGCCUCUCUAACCGGUUUCCCUGUUCCUAUUGGCCGCCUAGACCUGAGCAGAGGCGGGACUCAAUUCAGGCCGGCCUGGUGAUUGGCUGCUCUGAACAGACAGUAAAACGGGAACGCCCUUUUCUCUCCCCCCUCCCAGCUCAUUCAUGAUAGAGACGCGAAGGGAUAGAGCGCCACGUGGAAGUCCAUGGCGGCGGUGGGCCCCUCGCCGGAAGUGUUGGCUCUCUGGGCGCGGGGGUCCUUCGGACAAUGAAACCAUAGAGCGGGCGAGGGGCGGAGCGGCUGCGCUUGGGGCGGCCACUCUGCCUCCCUUGGAGGGGAGGAGGUCUCUGGCGCGGCGGCCGAGGCGGAAGCGAGGCCUAGUCUGCGGCGCGGGCGAGGAGGAGGCCUGGAGCUGGAUUUCGGUGUGUCUGCGGUGCCGUUCUGCGGUUGCUCAUGGCAUUGAAGGCAGAAACUCCCCGGCUGGACUACAUCAAGGUCUCUUCCUCUGUUCUACGUUUCAAAGAGAAGGGGAAGGAGGCUGCCGAUCCUGUCGUGACCGAGCGUACUCCAGUUAAGCGGGAUGGAGCCAGUGUGGAUCCCAAGGACAGAGGUAGGUUGUAUUAAGUAAAUGGGUUCCUGGUUAUGCACAAAAGUAAUAGAUACCCACAAAUGUAGUGAUUGCUUUAGCAAUGUUCAGUCAACAAGUAUAACAUAAGAACUCAUAUAGAAUAAAAUACAAUAUGUUCAGAAUUCACAAUUGUAAUAGACAUAAUCCAUACAUCAAAAUACUUUACUUUACAAAAAAUACUUUACAAACAUUUUCAUGAUCGCCAACACAGUCCAGAUUCAUUUAAAUUCCACAUAUUAGAAGUGGUGACACAAACUUCAGACAUGGAUUACAAUAUUAAACUCUUACAAAGAGAAUCAUACUGGGUGUUUAAGUUACAAACUGAGCACCCCCGAGGUCUUAAUGAACAUAAUUCAUAUAAUUACUUCAUGUGAAUCUGUACUUGGUAUUUCUUACCACACUAUAAAUUCCAACCAAACUGGGAGAACUACCAGUGCCAUCUAGUGUUGAGUAACACAUAUAUGAAUAUACUCAGUAACCCCAUAUUGCUUUAAAUGAAUAAUGGCUACCUGAAAUCAUCCCUGAGGACAAAACUUCCCAUUAUAUUGUGAGGGUACCAAAUAACAGUUUAUAC
rnacentral:lncRNA from 11 species